AUUCCAGAAUAUAAAGAAUAUGAGAAUUGGUGUGUCAGUUGGAGUGGGCGCCAACUAUAGUGUCAAAUUUUGUAAUUUUUGUUUAUUUUAAAUGCGUUUGAGUAUCAUAAUACAUGAUUGACCUAUUUAUAAUCAACAUAAAUAUUGUUGUUAUAUUGUUAACAUUGUAACUUUUUGUUGAUUUUAUACAAAAUCACCCUUUUUUUAAUCUUC
rnacentral:lncRNA from 1 species